rnacentral:rRNA from 1 species
UACGUAGGGCGCAAGCGUUUAUCCGGAAUUAUUGGGCGUAAAGAGCUCGUAGGCGGUUUGUCGCGUCUGCCGUGAAAGUCCGGGGCUCAACUCCGGAUCUGCGGUGGGUACGGGCAGACUAGAGUGAUGUAGGGGGAGACUGGAAUUCCUGGUGUAGCGGUGAAAUGCGCAGAUAUCAGGGGGAACACCGAUGGCGAAGGCAGGUCUCUGGGCAUUAACUGACGCUGAGACGCGAAAGCGUGGGGAGCGAACAGG